UGAACAUUAUCAUAUGUAGAUUUUGUGUAUGGUAAUGUGAGAGGGAAUCAGGUGAAAUGCCUGAACGGUUGCGGCCACUGUAUACAGAAAAAAGCGGGAUUGUAAUAUGUCAUUGCAUAAAUAUGUGAGAAGGCGGAAUCCGGCUGCCAGAGAGUAUCUGGAAAUAUUUCUGAUACAACAUUCAUGAACUGCUGAAGCAUGGAUGUUGUAUCAGUUUUUAUUUUAUGGGAACUUUCUGUGAACUGUGAGUCAGGAAACCUGCCUGACAGCGUAAAGAAGGA
rnacentral:ncRNA from 16 species